AUUGGACGCUGGCGGCAGGCUUAACACAUGCAAGUCGAGCGGGGUGAUGGUGCUUGCACUAUCACUUAGCGGCGGACGGGUGAGUAAUGCUUAGGAAUCUGCCUAUUAGUGGGGGACAACAUCUCGAAAGGGAUGCUAAUACCGCAUACGUCCUACGGGAGAAAGCAGGGGAUCACUUGUGACCUUGCGCUAAUAGAUGAGCCUAAGUCGGAUUAGCUAGUUGGUGGGGUAAAGGCCUACCAAGGCGACGAUCUGUAGCGGGUCUGAGAGGAUGAUUCGCCACAAUGGGACUGGGACACGGCCCAGACUCCUACGGGAGGCAGCAGUGGGGAAUAUUGGACAAUGGGGGGAACCCUGAUCCAGCCAUGCCGCGUGUGUGAAGAAGGCCUUAUGGUUGUAAAGCACUUUAAGCGAGGAGGAGGCUCUUUUGGUUAAUACCCAAGAUGAGUGGACGUUACUCGCAGAAGAAGCACCGGCUAACUCCGUGCCAGCCGCCGCCGUA
rnacentral:rRNA from 1 species